AUUACGUCCCUGCCCUUUGUACACACCGCCCGUCGCUACUACCGAUUGAAUGGCUUAGUGAGACUUUCGGAUGUGUUUGGAGCCGCUGGCAACAGUGACACCUUGCGCAGAAGUUAUUCAAACUUGGUCAUUUAGAGGAAGUAAAAGUCGUAACAAGGUUUCCGUAGGUGAACCUGCGGAAGGAUCAUUA
rnacentral:rRNA from 1 species